CCUGAGCUCUUCAGUGUGCUUUCAUUUGAGGGACCCAGUGGCAUUCCUAAAGGGGCUGGUAAAGUAACCUUCUCCUUGUGGGAAGGGUCACGCUUCUCAACGAGAGCAGAUGUUUUGUGGCCCAAUCUCCAUUUUCAUAACUGCCCUGCUGGCUGGCUGCAGGUCUGAGAUGGCUCAGUGCAGGGAUGCUACCAGUUCCCUAAGCCCUGCUUUGCUCUGGAAAGGAGUUGAGCAUCUCCAGAGCCUUGUUGCCUCCAUCAGUGUAAUAAAACCAACCCAGAGCAUGGAAGAUGAAAGGACUCCCUCUCCAUUUGACCUGGGGAAAAAGACGUGUUGGUGGCUUUCCUGCUUGUGAUCAGCUCUUCAGCAAUUGCAGGAAGUUGAGCAGUGGGGAGCAGGACGAGCUGUGCUGUCUGCUUGCUUGGAGCUGUUUGAACACUGAAGGGAAUAAAGAGACGCGGAGACCUAAAUAAGGGCAGACAGAUGCAUAGCUGGAUCCGUGGGAUGAAGCGUUUUGUUUGCCGCAGCACAGCUGAACUGCACACAGGCUGGCAGUGGAUGCUGUCCCAGACUCAGGACCAUUCCUCAAUUUGCGUGAUUGUGGUCUGAGUGCCUUGGCUGUGGGAAGCUCUGGUUACCCAAAAAGAAGGACCUAAGCUGCCUGGCUGAGGGGACAGGAGCAUGCGCCCAGGCCUUACCUAUGGGAAUGGAGAAGGCUUGGUGUGCUGCACAAGAAAAGUGGAUGCUCCCAAGAAAGUGAAUUCCUUGCAGAGCUUCUCAGAUGUCCUCCCCUG